rnacentral:rRNA from 1 species
AAUAGAUACCCAGGUAGUCCACGCCGUAAACGAUGGAUACUAGGUGUGGGGGAUUCGAUUCCUCCGUGCCGCCGUUAACACAAUAAGUAUCCCGCCUGGGGAGUACGGUCGCAAGAUUAAAACUCAAAGGAAUUGACGGGGGCCCGCACAAGCAGCGGAGCAUGUGGUUUAAUUCGAAGCAACGCGAAGAACCUUACCUAGACUUGACAUCUCCUGAAUUACCCUUAACCGGGGAAGCCCUUCGGGGCAGGAAGACAGGUGGUGCAUGGUUGUCGUCAGCUCGUGUCGUGAGAUGUUGGGUUAAGUCCCGCAACGAGCGCAACCCUUAUUGUUAGUUGCUACCAUUAAGUUGAGCACUCUAGCGAGACUGCCUGGGUUAACCAGGAGGAAGGUGGGGAUGACGUCAAAUCAUCAUGCCCCUUAUGUCUAGGGCUACACACGUGCUACAAUGGCAAGUACAGAUAGAUGCGAUACCGCGAGGUGGAGCAAAACUGAAAAACUUGUCCCAGUUCGGAUUGUAGGCUGAAACUCGCCUACAUGAGGCCGGU